rnacentral:rRNA from 1 species
UACAGAGGGUGCAAGCGUUGUUCGGAAUUACUGGGCGUAAAGCGCGUGUAGGCUGCAAUGUAAGUCGGAUGUGAAAGCCCUUGGCUUAACCAAGGAAGUGCAUCUGAUACUGCAUCGCUUGAGUGUCGGAGGGAUGGCGGAAUUCCCGGUGUAGAGGUGAAAUUCGUAGAUAUCGGGAGGAACACCUGUGGCGAAGGCGGCCAUCUGGACGAUAACGUGACGCUGAGACGCGAAAGCGUGGGUAGCAAACAGG